CGACUACUUUUCAAAUAUUACACUGUAGCUUGGUGACUAUUAAUUUUGUUGGAACGAUUGGUAAAGAUGCCCGGUUACUUCAGCAUUUACAUGGUUCGAGCCCAACACGUUUAUUUUUCCUGGUUUAUCUCUUGCUGUAUAGUUAAUGUCUUGUCCACCUUUUACCAUUUCCAUAAAGCUAUUAUUGGAUUUAAAUGUACGAUGUUUAAGGUUUUACACACAUAUUAAAAAAUAAUAAAUAUAUUAUUUUAAUUAUUACUGUUUGGUUAUAUUAAUAAAGUUUCACCAUUCAUAAUUUUACUUUUUAAUUUAUUUUUAAAUUGUAAAAAUAAGUACAUUAAUUAUACCUCAAAACAUCAUACAUUUGUAUACAAAAUAAAAAGAUAGAACAUCGUACAUUCGUAUCCGGAGGGAGUAUUAGUGAGAUUAUUCUACCUUUUGUUUUAUUGUUAAUAUUAUUAUUUUUUCUUGUUAGCAUAUCUUUUCUUCUCUUAAUUUGUCUUUUCAUCAUUCUUUCUAUUAUAAUUUAUAUUUUAUCUUAAAAUUUUCAUUUUUAAGUCCAUUCUUUUACUAGUUAGCAAUUGCUAAUAAAGAAAUAAAACUAAUUAAUCCACUCAUUUUAUUUAAUAUUUUAGAGUUUAGACCUUAUGAUAUAAUGACUACAAACAAGUUGUGUGUGAUAUCGAUAUACUGUUAUAUAUGUGUAAACUUGAAGACUAUUUUUUUAUAAGUAUUCAAGUUAAUUUUAACUGCGACAAUAUGUUAUUGUGAUUAUACAUUUGUAAAAAAAAAUCUUAUAUAAUCUGUUCUGAGUUGAACAAAAUUAAAUUUGCUAAUAGUCUAUAUUUAAAUUUUAAUGAUUACUCAUUUACGAUAGUUUUUAAAUAGAUUGUUAUUUAUUUUAAAUUAAUUAUUUAUAUUAUUUAAUAUAUAUAUAUAUAUAUAUAUAUUUAUUUAUUUAUUAUGUGCCCCCGUCAAAUAAUUGGUAUGGAUCCGCCACUGAACGAACACAACUAUAUUCGAAGAGGUUUUCAUUGACUGAAUUUGGCUUGGGCAGCAAAGAAACCCGAAUAACUGAACAUGAACCAAACCGAAAUAACGGAAACUGAAAUCAGACCGAACCCCUCAAAUACCCAAAUGGUUUUUAUAUUUAUAUAUUUGAAAUAACUGAAAUGAACCAAGAACGGACCGUUCUUUCCGAACAUAUAAAGAUAUUAAUUAUAUAUACAUAUAACUAAAUAUAAUAUUUGAAAAAACUAAAUUAUUAUAAAAUAUCUAAACUAUCCAAAUAUUUUUUUAUCUAAAAUAACUCGAAAUAUCCUAAAUUUUAUAUAAAUGCUCCUAACUAUUCGAUAUUUUAUCUAAAAUAUCUGAUAUUUAACCUAGAUUACCCGAACUACUUGAAAGUCACCGAACCAGAACUGAAACAAAAUAAGAACCAAAAAUAUCCGGGUAUUUCGGCUCCUAAUUUUACUAUCCAAACCAAACAAAAACCCGAAACUUUCCGAACCAAGCCCGAACUAAAAAUUGUUAGGUAGUAAAUGAAUUAUUUCGCUUUUACCCGAAUUAUCCAAUAUUUGAAAUACUCGAGCCAAACCGAACCAAUAUCCGAAAUGUUCAUAUCUUAGAUUGAAUAAACUCGUUAUCUUAGAUAUGACCAUGCAUGCGUUUGAUGUAUGAAUUAACUAAUAAAUAAUUAUGAGUUUUUAUACGCCAUGCGUAAAAAUAAUAAUGUUAAAUAUAAUGUUUGUAUUUAAAAACUGAUUUUGAUUUGAACAUUAGUAUUUUUUUAUUUUAAUUUUAGAAGUUUGAAAAGAUUUCUAGUUUCAUUUAUUUUGAUUUGGUUAAAGAAUGCAACUCAAAGCACAAAAUAUCCUUUUCCUUAAAGCCUAAAAAUAAGAGUGAUCAGGGCAAAGAAAAGAUUAUCUUCCAUUAAAAGGUUGCGACUAAACAACGAUCAACACACGUAAUCUUUUAUACGUGUCGAACUAUUAUUGGCUAUUUCUACACCGUCAUAGCUUUCUCGUGACCUAGGCUGCCUCAUCCUCUUUUAUAAAUCAAACCCAAAACAUCUCUUCUCCUUCUCAAAUCGAAAUACAAUCUUCUCAAUUCUCUCUCUCGAAUUACGAUCAAGAUGCAGAUCUUCGUUAAGACACUCACGGGAAAGACGAUCACCCUUGAGGUGGAAAGCCCUGACACGAUCGACAAUGUUAAAGCCAAGAUUCAAGACAAGGAGGGUAUUCCUCCGGAUCAGCAGAGGCUUAUCUUCGCCGGAAAGCAGCUCGAGGACGGGAGAACCCUAGCUGAUUACAACAUCCAGAAGGAGUCGACUCUACAUCUCGUCCUCAGGCUACGUGGUGGCAUGCAGAUUUUUGUCAAGACCUAAACGGGAAAGACGAUCACACUCGAGGUGGAGAACUCCGACACCAUCGAUAACGUCAAGGCCAAGAUACAAGACAAGGAGGGAAUCCCGCCUGACCAGCAGCGUUUGAUCUUUGCCGGCAAGCAGCUUGAGGAUGGUCGUACAUUGGCCGAUUACAACAUUCAGAAGGAGUCUACUCUUCAUCUCGUGUUACGUCUGCGUGGAGGCAUGCAAAUCUUUGUCAAGACGUUGACUGGUAAGACCAUCACACUGGAGGUCGAGAGCUCCGACACGAUUGAUAACGUCAAGGCCAAGAUCCAAGACAAGGAAGGCAUCCCUCCAGACCAGCAGCGUCUCAUCUUCGCUGGAAAGCAGCUUGAGGAUGGUCGCACCCUAGCCGACUACAACAUCCAGAAGGAGUCUACCCUUCACUUGGUGUUGCGUCUCCGUGGUGGCUUUUAAAGUCUCUCGUUCUGUGUCUGCCUUUUUUAGUCUCGUUUUCUUGAAAACUUAUCAUGGUUUUAUAAAGCCUCUUAAAUAAUUGAUCCCUCUUUCUCACUUAUCAUGGUUUGGUGUGUGUUUGAGGCAUUAUAAAGCCUCUUAAAUAAUUGAUCUCUCUCUUUCUCUUAUCA